rnacentral:rRNA from 1 species
AGCGAACGCUGGCGGCAGGCUUAACACAUGCAAGUCGAACGGACCCUUCGGGUUAGUGGCGGACGGGUGAGUAACACGUGGGAACGUGCCUUUAGGUUCGGAACAACACAGGGAAACUUGUGCUAAUACCGGAUGUGCCCUUCGGGGAAGAUUUAUCGCCUUUAGAGCGGCCCGCGUCUGAUUAGCUUGUUGGUGAGGUAAAGGCUCACCAAGGCUACGAUCAGUAGCUGGUCUGAGAGGAUGAUCAGCCACACUGGGACUGAGACACGGCCCAGACUCCUACGGGAGGCAGCAGUGGGGAAUAUUGGACAAUGGGCGCAAGCCUGAUCCAGCCAUGCCGCGUGAGUGAUGAAGGCCUUAGGGUUGUAAACUCCUGUCAGCAGGGAAAAAGCAAAUCGGCCUAACACGCCGGUGAGUUGAUUGUACCUGCAGAGGAAGCCCCGGCUAACUCUGUGCCAGCCGCCGCGGUAAU